AUGGGCUCCGACGGCCUGACUGCGUUCGCGCUCCGCCUGGCCAAGAAGCUCGGCGAGGGAGACAACACCAGGGGCAGCAACAUCGCCUUCUCGCCGCUGUCCCUCUACACCACGCUCGGCCUGGUGGCCGCCGGAGCCUGCGGCAGAACUCUGGAUGAGCUCCUAGCCCUGCUCGGUGCCGCGUCGGCCGACGAGCUCGCCGGGUUCGUGCACGGCCUCCCCUCCGACCCGUCCGGCUCCGGUGGGCCUGUCAUCACCUACACCUACGGUGUAUUUCACCAGGAACACAUGGAGCUCACGCCGGACUUCCUCCACACCGCCACCGAGUCCUACAAGGCAGAGAUACGCGCCGUCGACUUCGCUGAGGAUGAGGUCAGGGAGGAGACCAGGAAGGAGAUCAACCAGUGGGCGGCGGCGGAGACGAACAAUCUCAUCUGGGAGUUCCUGCCGGAGGGUUCAUUGACCGACCACUCGAGGUUCGUGCUCACCAACGCCAUCUACUUCAAGGGCGCGUGGGAGACCCGCUUCCCAGAGAACCUCACCGAGGACCAUGAGUUCCACCGCCUCGACGGCGCCGACCCCGUCGACGUCCCCUUCAUGACCCUGCCGGGAACAUGCGAGCUCUUCGUCUCAUACAAUGAAGGCUUCAAGGUGCUCAAGCUCCCCUACAAGGCCGGUGAUGAUGCCAUGUCGCGGUACUCCAUGUGCGUCUUCCUCCCGGACGAGGACGACGGGCUGCACGCCAUGGUCAGCACUCUUGCGGAUAUGGGUGGCUCCCUGCUUGACCACGUGCCGAAGCUCCGAAGCAGAGUGAGGGAGCUUAUGCUGCCCAAGUUCAAGCUGUCAUUCUUUUGUCGUCUCGCCCAAGUCCUUCGAGGCCUAGGGCUUCGGGAGGCGUUCACCGAGGAGGCCGCCGACCUGUCUGGCAUCAUGGACAAGAGCGUCUGUGACGUGCGCUUGGACGAGGUGUUCCACAAGGCCGUCGUCGAGGUGAAUGAGGAGGGCACCGUGGCGGCUGCCUGCGCCGCCGUCAUCGGCCGCAAGAAGAAAUGUGCAAUGAGGUUGGAGUUCAUCGCCGACCACCCUUUUGCGUUUUAUAUCGUGGAGGAGGUCUCAGGGGCCGUGGUCUUUGCCGGUCAUGUACUGGACCCUUCUAGCUCACCGUAA
rnacentral:rRNA from 1 species